GGGAGCAGCUGGAUCUUUAGGUGUCAAAGGAAACAAGGGAUCUGAAGGGGUUUUGGGGCCGGAGGGAGUUGCUGGUCUCGAUGGGUCCAAUGGGAAUAAAGGCACCUGUGGGGCCAGCUGGACUUAAAGGCUUAUCUGGGGAUAAGGGAAACACUGGACCUCCUGGACAGAAAGGGCCAAAGGGAGAUGAAGGGGAAAGAGGCAACCGAGGGCCACAGCGAGGAAAAGGGCCCCCAGGGA